rnacentral:rRNA from 1 species
AAAGCGUGCGCAGGCGGUUGUGUAAGACAGUUGUGAAAUCCCCGGGCUCAACCUGGGAAUUGCAUCUGUGACUGCACAGCUAGAGUACGGUAGAGGGGGAUGGAAUUCCGCGUGUAGCAGUGAAAUGCGUAGAUAUGCGGAGGAACACCGAUGGCGAAGGCAAUCCCCUGGACCUGUACUGACGCUCAUGCACGAAAGCGUGGGGAGCAAACAGGAUUAGAUACCCGAGU